GCCCUCGUAGUAUAACGGAUAAAACACUGGGCUUCGGACCCAGAGUUGAGAGUUCGAAUCUCUCCGAGGGCA
rnacentral:tRNA from 1 species